GCCACAGCCCCCUUGCGGAGGGGUGUUCCCCAGUGGACAGUCGGGCACUGUCCCCAGAAGAAGGCACACCUGGUGGGGGCAACUGAGGGGAAGGGACAUUCUCAGGGACGUGCAGGGGCUGCAGGCUCUCUCAGGACGCUCCGUUCCCAAAGGCCUCAGUCAGCGCUGUCUCUUCCCAGCAGCACCCAUCUCCUCUCCGGUGUUCUCGUCCCGUGCCAGCAGGGAACGGCGUGAUUAAGGCUCCAUUAUUAACUUGCCAAUCUUGUUUCUGGGGCACAGACGCUGGCGGCUUAGGGGACCCAGUUGGCGUAUAACGAGGUCUCCAUGACAAAUUACUUGAGUAUCAAUUAACCAUCUAGGGAAGUGUCAGGCGGGAUCCGUCGUGCUGGCGGCGAGGGGCAGCCAAUUAGCCCAGAGCGCUUCAUCGGGCCCACGUGACCGCCUGCCGCAGCCUCCAGCAGGGCCGGGAAGGGAAGAAAGGCCUGGGGUGCAGCCUCCGUCCCCGGGACGCACUUGGGCAGACACCCCGGGCGCUCAGCACACGGCCUUCGCCUUGCAGCUGCCUGUCCAUUCCCUCCUUCACUCCACAGCCACCUGCUGGGUCAGCCCUGACCUGGUCCCUGCUGGUCAGCGGGCGGGACAGUGCUGGGAAGGACAGCUGCGCAGACAGGCAUCCUUGAGUCGUGUGGUCUCCACCACGGGCUGCUGAUGAAUCAGAGCACCCUCAGGGCGGGAGGAGGGACGGGAGAGGGCGGGGCAGGGAGGGGAAGGAGGCGUGGCCGGGUCCCAGGGUGAGGACCUGGGUGGAGGGCACCCAGGACAGCACAAGCACAGAACAGCACCCGGGGCCCAGGGCUCAGCGCCUUUGGCAAUGGCCUGGGACACCUGAGCAGAAUCCCGCCACAUGACUCUGAGCCAUAAGACUUGGAGACAGUUUGCUAAAACCUUCCUAAGCCUGUUUCCUCUCCUGUAAAAUGGGGCUAAUAACCCCCAUCCCCAGGCGUGUUGUGAGAGUGAGCAGGGCCCUGUGUCCCCGUGCCUGGCCCCACGCAGGGGCCGGCUCAGUCUGGUUCCCCCCCACACACACCCUGCAGGUGACGCCUUGGACCCUGGCUCAUUAGUGGGAGGCUCAGAUGGAGCCCCGCUGAGGGGCGCAGGAUGAGGCAGGCGGCCUGGGAGAAGAAGGGCAUCCUGGCGGAGGUGGCGUGGGCUGGCCAGCAGGUACACAGGCGACCGAGAGGCGGAGGGGCAGGACUCUGGGACUCUGGCCACCCCACACGGUCCACCAUGCCUUCUGGGUUUUCUUUGUUUUCAGGAAAGCACACGGGUCACCUGGGGAUGUGUCCCUCCUGUGAGGGCCAGUAACCAUGCUCUGACCAUCCCCCUUCCCAGGCCUCUGCCAUGCCAUCCCCCCAGCCCGUCCCUCUGAUAAUAGUGACACCCCCCCACCCCUCACUCCCCCCAUAGGCGACCCCCCCACUCAGCAGGUGAUUGGCAGCUGCCACUUCCCAGCCCCCCAGCCACGGAGCCUCAUGCUUAUUCAUGACGCUGACAUAUGGCACCUCCGUGGGGGGAGGGGAUGGGAGGAAGCUGCCAAUUGAGAGAGUGCAGCGUGUCCCCAUUCGAGCCCUGUUGAAGCAAAACAAAUGCAAGAUGUGCGGGGAGCAGAGGCGGCCGGGGGUGUGCGUGUGCUGUGCGUGUGCUUGCCUGCACCGCGGGGGGCGGGGGUGGGGGAGGGAGGAAGACAGAGGGUGAGGGGGAGAGAGGGAGGCUGCAGGGCUUGGGGGGGAGCUUUGGUUGUCAUAGCUUCUGGGGUCUCAGCUAAUGGGGUCCUCAGAGGCCAAGCUGUCCAUUCCUCCGCCCCAGGCAGGCUGGCUCACACCAGCCCAAGACCCCUUUCACCUCCAUCGCCCUCACCUCGCACACGGGACGCUGGGCUGGCGGCCAGGAACAAGAUAAGGGCUUGGCCAGUAGCCCUGUGGGCACUUGAUUUAGUGUUCUCAUCUUUUCAGAAUCAGGAAAAUCUGGCUAAUGUCAAACCAGGGUCCAUAGGGCUCCAGACUUUAGGCAGUUUCUUUUACUGUUUUGUUGAGGAUGGAAGCGUGUGUGCCCUGCCACACAUCAGUGGGUGGGAGCACUGCAUUCCCCCAGCAUGUCCCUGCCCCCAGGCUGGGCUGGCCCUCCAGUGCUCUGCCGGCCACCCACGGCUACAAAGCUCUGCUCCCAAGCCGAGAGGGCAGAGCAGAGGCAAAGGCUGAAGUCUUGGGUCCUCAGCCAGCCCCUCCUCCUGGACCGAGGGUUGGAGGCUGCUGCCAUGGAAACAAGGCUCUUUGCCAACUGGCCACCUGCAUCCUGGGACCAGUAGGUGGGUCCCGGAACUGUGACCACCUUCCAGGAGGCCCAGCCCUCAGGCCCCUUGACCCUGCUCUGCCACCUGCCCCUAUUGGUUGUAAGAAGUCAGGAGAGAGGGAGAAGGGAGCGGAGGGAGCCUGGCAUGAGGCUGGGGCCCGGCAGGCCAGGGGCUGAGGCAGGGCGAGGAGCCUGCCCCGAGAGCCCCAGCCAAGGGUCCCCUGCUCGUGCAGGAGCUGGACGCUCGGAGCCCUCUGACACAAACCUUAUGCCCUCUGAACAGUGGCAGGCCCUCGGGGGUCUGUCCAUAGGGUCCACCGAGCCCCACGCUGUGGGCCUUCCAGGGAGUCAGGGCUGUAGAGCCCUGUCCCACCAGGGUGCAGCCUGCUAGAGAGCCACCCGCCCCCUAGUGCCCUCUGGGCAGCCCUGAUUCCAGCCAGGGACACCCUGGUCCCCAGCCGUGGUGCGCUGUGUGGGUGGCCUGACACCCUCCUGGCCUGGCUUUAGAUGAGGGGCCCCACGCCUGGCUGGCACACUCCCGUCCGACAGGCGUGGGGCUGUGGCGCUUCAGGCACUGCUGUGCACGGAGGCAUCUGCUGCUCACUGUCUCGGGGCAGAUGGGCUGCCAGUGAGCUAAGUGUGUGCGGGGGAAGGGGUGCCAUAGGAACCCCGUCCCUCGGCAGCGUGGGGGCGAGAGAGGCAGGCGCCCGCCCAGGGAGAGCGGGGAACGCACGGGAGGAGAGGCCAGGAUCGUGUGGGCUCCCAGUUUGGGGAGAGGCCCGUGGUGCUGGUUCCUGGGCAGGGGUCCAGGAAAUCCUGGCGGGACCACUAAGUGGAUGGGGGGCCCGGAGGCACUGGCCAGGGCAGGGGUCCCCCGCCACCACUGGCUGUGUGGGCUCGGGCAGGUCUUUUUCCUCCCGGGAUCUAAGGAGUGAGUUUGGAUCAUCCUUGGGGUGUCUUCCAGCUCCUAAACCCCGAGCUUCAGCAGGAUGGGGGGUCCUGCCAUCCGAGGGGCCUCCCGUGAGGUGAGGGGGUGGCAGCACUGGCUGCCGUGGCUCCCAGAGAGGUGCUGUGUGUCAGGCAGGGUCACUCUGCAGAGUGGGACUCGGGCCGGCUUUUACAGCCCCCCCACCCCCAACCCCGCCUACCCAGCGAGGGUCCCGCCAGGUGACGGGGGCAGGGCUGCUGGGCGGGCUGCUGGUGGAAAGCCCAGCCCACUGGUCCCUGGGCCCCCAGGGGCACUUGGGCCCACGGAGGGGGAGGUGUGAGGAGGUCCACAAGCACGCAGCCCAAGACCACCGCCGGCCGAGGGAAUGCAUGAAUGGGGCCCGCUGGACAAAGCCCCAAAUCCUGCUCUGGGAGCCCUAAGGGCUCCUCAUACAUAAUGACAGUGAGCAGAGCCACUGGGGGCCGGCUCAGCCCCCCUUCAUGUGCCAGACGCCGCCUCAUCUCAGCACCGUGGCCUUCGGUAGUUGGCGCAGUAGCAGCGGAAGGCAGCCGCUGUCCGGGUAGAUGGAGGUGGAGACGGGCUGGGAAAGAUGCUGGGGCCGGCAGAGGCCUGGGGGGCCCGCUGAUGGCUAAGCUGGGAGUGGAGCCCAAGGCCAGCUGGCUGCACAGCCCUGAUGGUCAGCUUGACCCCUUGGGCCCCGCUGCCAGGUGCCUCGCCCCUUCACAACUUCAGAAGCCCAGGGGAGGGUGCCAAGUGGGCCCAGCGCCCCUCCUCCCUCCAUCCCUGGGCGGCCCCCACCCACCCCGGAGCCGCCUCCGCCCGCCCGACUGCAGUGACUCAGCUCAGCUGUUCCCCAGCCGCUCUGCUUGCUGGUGGUUGCCGUUCUUUUUCUUUUCCAAAGCGUGAUAUUGCCCCUGUGCUGUGGCAAGGUGACUGCCUCUGCCUGGGAGUGCCCACGGUGGCCCCAGCUUGAGGUGGCCAAGGUGGCCAGCUGACCGGGCCUCACCCUCAGACUGUGCUCAUGGGCAGAGAUGGGCACCUCCAGUGCGGGCACAGUCCUCACCUUAGUUCCGCCCGACUCGGGCACAGUGCCGGAGGACACCUGUCCAAAGUCACCCUCCGCAGCUGCCUCACGACUCCAGGACCUGUGUCCUUGACAUUCUAGGUUGGACUUCGAGGGGCCAGAAACCCAGGGAGGGCAACCGGGAGGGGAUGGCCAGAGCCCCACUUUUCCAGAAAGGGGUAAAAAUGGAGAAGACGGGCAGGGGCACUGCCCAUUAUCAAGGCCAGGGGGCUGAGUUACAUGCAGAAGGAAGGGCUUCGCCUCGAUGGAGAAAGAUUCCCUGAUCCUUGAGGUUGUCCGUGGAAUUCGCCGUUUUGUUAGGUGGUGAGGUCCCUGUUCCUGGGAGGAUUUAGGCGCUGACACGGACAGGAUUCUUCAUGGGAUUGAGCCCAGUGUGGUGGAGUUGGUGGGAAGAGCAUUAAGAGCUGGAGUUGGAUGUUUGAGUUCAAUUCUCAGGUUUAUGUAAACUCAGGCAAGUCAUUCAGCCUCUCAGAGCCUUAGUCUCUUCAUCUUCGAAAUGGGCCGGCAGUAGUGAGGAUCCGAGGAGACAGGGUAGGAGGAAGGGCAGUGUAAGCUGUGGGGUGUACACCACGUUCUCAGGCUCUGGCUCUGACCCGCACCUCUGGAGGUCCUCCAUCUCUGCGAGCAUCUUCUGCCAAGGAUGGCCGUGACCCCAUCAGAAGAAAUGGCUCCAGCUCCAACAGGGAGGUUCCGGGAGAGAAAAGGAAGGGCCCUGGGAGAUGGGAAGUCGAGAGACACAAGGAUGGUGGGACCCACCCUCCUCGUGUGUUUGGGACAGGAGGGCGGCAGCUUCUCCUGCCCCCUGGACUGGAGAUCGGGGGCCUGGAGGCCUCGAGGUGAUGCGGCGUCCCUGGUGCCUGGCCUCGGGGGAAAGAUGAUGUUGGGGAGACCGGAGGGGGUGGGAAAUUCUGCGUGGGCCCCACGCCGACUCGGGGCUUCAGUAACUAAGAGGAGGUCCGACGAGGCCACGGUUGCAGGGCUGGGGCGGCUGGCAUCUCCUGCCCAAAUGCUCCUUCCCACCUCUCACCCCCGCCUCACCCCUUUCCCUCUGUAUGCGCAGUGUCCAUUUCUCAUGCUCUUGGACUGGAUCGAAUGCAGCCCCUAAAAGAUGUGUCCAUCCGGAACCUCAGAAUGUGACCCUUCUCAGAGUCUUUGCAGGUAUCAUCUGGUUCAGGAUCUGGACAGAUCGUCCUGGGUCAGGACAGGCCCUAAAUCCCAUGUCGAGGGGCAGGAGAGAAGGGCCGAGGGAGGCUUGAGGCUCGGACCCAGCAACAGCUCAUGAAGCUGGAGGCAGAGCCUGGCCUGGUGGGCGCAGCAGCCCCCGGAGGCAGGGAGAGAGGCCUGGGGUGGUUCCUCAGCAGCAGCAGCUGCUGGGAACUUAGGCUGGAAGGGCCUCUGUGAGCUCAAGGGGCUCUGAGCUGGCUCCACCCUGCCAGGCUUCCUGCCUUACGCAGCCCCACUUCUUGAGGCAGAAGACAGAGCUGGUGCCCCCUGACUCCCUUGCAGCUAGAGGGGCUCCACCCACCAGAUCGAUGAGCCCACUGACUCAGAAGCAGGCAACCCCAAAAAGCACAUCCUCCCAAACCUCUUUCCUAGCAAGGGCGGCGGCAGAGGUGCCCACCCUGUCACACGUGGGCCGCCCGGUCUGUGCCCAGUGGCAGAGGCCGUGUGGUUGGGGUGUUGCUUCUGUGCAUGCGGUCAGCUGCGUGUGAGCAGAAACUGCCUUUUCCAUUAAGCUCGCCUGGCUGGGUCCUGCUGGUUCCAAGCAGUAGGUGGGGAAAGGAGACCUCAUGCCCCAGAGAGAAGCUCCUAGAAGCCCUUCUCCUGCUAACCCUGGCUGGAUGAGAGCUGACCUCUGCCUAUGGGAGUGGAGGGGCCAAGAGGUUCCCGGGGAUCCCAGGAGGGACCAGUCACGGCCUGGGCUGGAAGCACCUGAGUCAGGACAAGCCCACCCCGCCGCGCCCCCGGGCCCUGUCCUCCCUCCCUCUGUCCUGCUCCUCUCCCCUGCACCCUUCUUAGAAAUGAAGUCAUCUAGAAAAAUA
rnacentral:lncRNA from 1 species